GUAGACAAACAUGGUAAACAUGGG
rnacentral:piRNA from 1 species